rnacentral:tRNA from 1 species
GAGAAUAUAGCUCAGUGGUAGAGCACAUGCUUAGCAUGCAUGAGGUUCUGGGUUCAAUUCCGCAGUACCUCCU